GAUGAACGCUAGCGGCAGGCUUAACACAUGCAAGUCGAGGGGCAGCGCGAUGUAGCAAUACAUUGGCGGCGACCGGCGCACGGGUGCGUAACACGUAUGGAACUUACCCUUUACUGGGAGAUAGCCCGGAGAAAUCCGGAUUAAUAUCCCAUAAUAAACGAAGUGGCAUCACUUUGUUUUGAAAGCUCCGGCGGUAAAGGAUGGCCAUGCGCACGAUUAGCUAGUAGGUGAGGUAACGGCUCACCUAGGCUACGAUCGUUAGGGGGGCCUGAGAGGGUUAUCCCCCACACUGGUACUGAGACACGGACCAGACUCCUACGGGAGGCAGCAGUGAGGAAUAUUGCGCAAUGGAGGCAACUCUGACGCAGCCAUGCCGCGUGCAGGAAGAAGGCGCUACGCGUUGUAAACUGCUUUUAACCGGGAAGAAACCCUCCGACGUGUCGGAGGUUGACGGUACCGGAGGAAUAAGCACCGGCUAACUUCGUGCCAGCAGCCGCGGUAAAGUC
rnacentral:rRNA from 1 species